AGCAGCCGCGGUAAUUCCAGCUCCAAUAGCGUAUAUUAAAGUUGUUGCAGUUAAAAAGCUCGUAGUUGAACUUCGGGGUCUACCCAUUGGUCAGGCUUAAUUGUCUGCACUGGUGAGAUGGAUCUCUACCUUCUGAGGAACUUUCAUGCCAUUUAUUUGGUGUGGUUGGAAAUCAGGACUGUUACUUUGAAAAAAUUAGAGUGUUUAAAGCAGACUAUCGUCUGAAUACAUUAGCAUGGAAUAAUGAAAUAGGACGGACUGAUUCUAUUCGUUGGUUUCUAGGAUCACCGUAAUGAUUAAUAGGGAUAGUUGGGGGCAUUAGUAUUCAAUUGUCAGAGGUGAAAUUCUUGGAUUUAUUGAAGACUAACUACUGCGAAAGCAUUUGCCAAGGAUGUUUUCAUUAAUCAAGAACGAAAGUUAGGGGAUCGAAGACGAUCAGAUACCGUCGUAGUCUUAACCAUAAACUAAUGCCGACUAGGGAUCGGACGAAGUUAAUUUAUAAUGACG
rnacentral:rRNA from 1 species